UAGGGAAUCUUCGGCAAUGGGGGCAACCCUGACCGAGCAACGCCGCGUGAGUGAAGAAGGUUUUCGGAUCGUAAAGCUCUGUUGUAAGAGAAGAACGUGUGUGAGAGUGGAAAGUUCACACAGUGACGGUAACUUACCAGAAAGGGACGGCUAACUACGUGCCAGCAGCCGCGGUAAUACGUAGGUCCCGAGCGUUGUCCGGAUUUAUUGGGCGUAAAGCGAGCGCAGGCGGUUUAAUAAGUCUGAAGUUAAAGGCAGUGGCUUAAGCAUUGUUCGCUUUGGAAACUGUUAAACUUGAGUGCAGAAGGGGAGAGUGGAAUUCCAUGUGUAGCGGUGAAAUGCGUAGAUAUAUGGAGGAACACCGGUGGCGAAAGCGGCUCUCUGGUCUGUAACUGACGCUGAGGCUCGAAAGCGUGGGGAGCAAACAGG
rnacentral:rRNA from 1 species